rnacentral:lncRNA from 1 species
AGACAAACCAACGCUCUCAACUCUGAAGAGUCAGGAGUUGUUAGAGAGCCUUUUCUCAGAAAGCCUGACACCCGUGUCUUUAGUCUGGCAUCCAUGCUAGUCACUUUUAACUGGCCAAUAGGUGCCUGGUAUUUAGUCCCCAAAUUCUAAGGAAAAAUAAGACAGAAUAGCAAGCAAAAGGGGUCUGAUGGUACUCACCACUUGGUGAUAGGCGACAGUCCCAUCUGGGUCACCAAAAUAUGUCUGGAAUUGGUUCCUUCCAGUGGGUUCUUGGUCUCACUGACUUCAAGAAUGAAGCCGCGGACCCUCGCACAUGAUUGUGAGGCCUCCCCACCCACAUGGAAUGGAACAAUGGUUCAGGAUUCACUAAUUCAGUAUUAGCAGCAACUUUACGGAACAAAACUACUGUGGAUAAUGAGAAUUCACUGCGCCCGUUGUUUAAACAGUUAACAGCAGUCACUUUAGUGCCUUUUGUAGAGACAGAGCACUAUGUGAAGAUUGUGCCUGCUUCCUCUUUGCCUUCCACCAUGAUUGGAAGUUUCCUGAGACCUUCCCAGCAGCAGAAGCCUAUACAGUCUGCAGAACUAGUUCCCCAGCUAUCCCCCAGUGGCUUGGAGAUUCCCAUUUCAAGAGUGUAGAGUUCUACCCAGAAGGUGGCUGCGUGGACAGUGACUACAUUCUCAGCUCCAUGCCUAUUUGGGUGAGGCCCUGUGAUGAAUGGUCAUCAGUGGAAUAUGAGCAGAAGUGUUAUGUGUCAGAAGAAGACAUGCCUUCUCCAUCCUUUCUUUUCCCCUACCCUCUGGUUUGUGUUGGUUUCCAGGGUGUCCUUGGGAGGGGUUUGGGCCAUAAUUUCAAAAGACACAGUGCUAAAUACCACAAUCCCAAAUGUUGAAAUCUGGAAAGAUCAAAAUCUCUAAAGGAAGGCACACAUUUAAGAUGGCAAAGCCACUGUGCCUUUGUCCCUAAAUAAGAGUGGGGCAACUGUGCCUUUCACCACUCUGCUGUUAACCAGUUAUACACACAAUGAACUGUUACGUUAGCAAAAAAAAUGUUUCUUGUAAAGGCCACUGAAAUUGUGGAGUUUGUCUGUUACAGUAACUAGCAGUACUCUAACUAAAAUGAGCGUCUUUCAUAAUAGAGAUGAGAAUUCAGAUUUCUACUAUUCUCUGACAAAUCUCCAUAACACUUAUUUACCAAACCACUGAUUUUAAUUGUGCUGAACGGAAAUGAUCAUGGAGAGUCACUUUUCCAAUGACCUCUCUGUCCCUUGGUUUUCCAUUGUUUAAGGUGAAUGAUAAUUUCUAUCUUUUAUUUCUAUUUGUGGUAUCCAAACAAAAUCAUCAUAAAAACUCCAUUAUGGCAUAGUUAAUUGUAAAAUAAAUAUAUAUGACCAAAAAAAUUAAAAA